rnacentral:rRNA from 2 species
GUCGCACGAGUUCAGACUCGUGGCGAAUAGCUCAGUAACACGUGGCCAAACUACCCUUCGGAACACAAUACCCUCGGGAAACUGAGGCUAAUAGUGUAUACCAUACCACCACUGGAAUGAGUGGUAUGCUAAACGCUCCGGCGCCGAAGGAUGUGGCUGCGGCCGAUUAGGUAGACGGUGGGGUAACGGCCCACCGUGCCAAUAAUCGGUAUGGGUCAUGAGAGUGAGAACCCAGAGACGGAAUCUGAGACAAGAUUCCGGGCCCUACGGGGCGCAGCAGGCGCGAAACCUUUACACUGCACGACAGUGCGAUAGGGGGAUCCCAAGUGCACAGGCAUAGCGCCUGUGCUUUUCGGUACCCUAAGGCGGUACCAGAAUAAGGGCUGGGCAAGACCGGUGCCAGCCGCCGCGGUAAUACCGGCAGCCCAAGUGAUGGCCGAUCUUAUUGGGCCUAAAGCGUCCGUAGCUGGCCGCGCAAGUCCAUCGGGAAAUCCACCUGCUCAACAGGUGGGCGCCCGGUAGAAACUGCGUGGCUUGGGA